rnacentral:rRNA from 1 species
GACGAACGCUGGCGGCGUGCCUAAUACAUGCAAGUCGAGCGCAGGAAGCCGUCUGAACCCUUCGGGGGGACGACGGUGGAAUGAGCGGCGGACGGGUGAGUAACACGUAAAGAACCUGCCCAUAGGUCUGGGAUAACCACGAGAAAUCGGGGCUAAUACCGGAUGUGUCAGCGGACCGCAUGGUCCGCUGAUGAAAGGCGCUCCGGCGUCGCCCAUGGAUGGCUUUGCGGUGCAUUAGCUAGUUGGUGGGGUAACGGCCCACCAAGGCGACGGUGCAUAGCCGACCUGAGAGGGUGAUCGGCCACACUGGGACUGAGACACGGCCCAGACUCCUACGGGAGGCAGCAGUAGGGAAUCUUCCACAAUGGACGAAAGUCUGAUGGAGCAACGCCGCGUGAACGAUGAAGGCUUUCGGGUCGUAAAGUUCUGUUGUAAGGGAAGAACAAGUGCCGCAGGCAAUGGCGGCACCUUGACGGUACCUUGCGAGAAAGCCACGGCUAACUACGUGCCAGCCGCCGCCGUAACAC